rnacentral:rRNA from 1 species
UACGUAGGGUGCAAGCGUUAAUCGGAAUUACUGGGCGUAAAGUGUGCGCAGGCGGCCGCGCAAGUCGAGUGUGAAAGCCCCGAGCUUAACUUGGGAAUUGCGCUCGAAACUACGUGGCCGGAGUGUGGCAGAGGAAGGUGGAAUUCCAGGUGUAGCGGUGAAAUGCGUAGAGAUCUGGAGGAACACCGAUGGCGAAGGCAGCAAACUGGUCGUCAACUGACGCUGAGGCGCGAAAGCGUGGGUAGCAAACAGG